UGGGCAUAGGGCUAGCAUCCU
rnacentral:miRNA from 1 species